AAUGCUACCGAUUUCAAUAAAUAAGCUCUACAUUAUCUUAGUACCCAUCUCUUAAUAGAAGAUUUGAUAUCUCUAGCAUCUUUUAUUGUUAAUCUGGCACUAAAGCAAAUGAUGCUUGUUGGUGAAACUUCUCCGUGAUGGCAGGUGAUCAUCAAUUUCUAGGAGUGGAACCAUGUCAGCUAGGUCAUCAGAAAAAAAAAAUCCAAAAACUAGUUAGGGGACCACCUUACCACAUAGACAAGGUGAUUGUGAAGCUUCUCCGUGCUGGCAGGUGAUCAUCAAUUUUUCUAGGGGUGGAACCAUGUCAGCUAGGUCAACAGUUGCCCUGAAGGACCUGGACUUGCAGCCAAUUGCCCUGCAGCUCCCAUGUAGAGGGUAAGUCUUGCACCUGGUCUGUUCAAAUAAGGUGAACCUCACACCUGUUCUCUUUGUAGAAACUAUUCAAAUUGAUUGCAAUUCGGUCAAAGAAUUAGGUACAUAGAGCCCACACCUUUUCUUUAUGUGUGGACUACCUGAAUUGGCUACAAUUUAGUUAGCGAAUUGCUGUAAAUCCUUAUCCAUUAAAACAUAAUUCUGUAAUUGCCUCUUUGUAAUUCUUAAGCUAAAAAUAGGAGAAGAUUCUGUCAAAAAAAUGGAUUAUUAGGAGUAAGAAUAUAUAAUUGAAAUUAAAACAGAGGAUUGGAAGGUUGGAUUCGAAUAAA